rnacentral:lncRNA from 1 species
UGAAAGUGCUUUUUUGGACAGUUUGCAAAUUGUGUUAAAGCUAUGGAUUUUUUUUAAGUGUUCAGCAUCCUAAUUUGCGUUAAAGCUAUGGAUUUUUUGAAAAGUCUUCAGCAUCCUAAUUCACCCUUCCUAACUUAAGGAAAAUAUAACUUAAGACACUGCUUCUAAGUUUGGUUGUUCUUUAUAGUGUGGAUACCCAGAUCUCUGUGAGCGUAUGGGGGUGGGCUGAGGGCCAGGUGAGGAGGGAGUGUGUGUGUAUGUGUGUGUGUGUGUGUGUGUGGUUUUUGUGUGUAUGAUGUGCGUGUGUCAGACCGCUUCUAGGCUACUAAGUGUCAAUGGAAAAGAAAAUGUAUUCAAAAUACUUAAAUCAAAACUAGAAGAUGGGAAAAAAAAAAGAUUUAUUCUAUACAAAGCCUUGUCUGGACCACUUUAGAGAGACUUCUAUUUUUUUAACCCUUCUAUAAAUAUUUGAUGGCACUUGAAAUAUUCCUGCAAUAAAAUGUGAUUUGUGUAAAGAAAAAAAAAAGAUUUUGUAAUGUGAAACAAAGAAAGAAAGUAAUGUAAUUUUCUAAAAAAAAAAAUACAAACAAACAAACUUUGUAUUAUUUUCUUGAUGGAAUUUGUCUAUCUGUCUUUGGAAAACUUUUUAUUUCAUUGAAUGUGCCAUAGUAGAAAUAUGUGUUUUUAGUUUUAGACUAAGGAAUAGCUGUUUGUGUUCCGACAUUCCAAAAUGCAAAACAACGUAGUAGAAUCUUUAAUGAAAAGGUUUAAGUAGGAUGUAAGCUUCUCUCAUUGUUGCUUUUUUGCACAUGUUCUUCAUUCCUCUCUAGUGCAAUAUGUACAUAGAGCACUUGCGGGUGUACCUUGAUCCCUCAGGGAAAAAAUACAUAUUUGUACAGUUUUGGUUUUUUGGUUUUUGUUUUUGUUUUUGGUUUUUUUGCCUUUUGUUUUUGGCUAAGGAAUGUCGAUUGAAUCACUUGUUAUUGUUGAGGGGCAGCCAGAUAAUAAUCCUAAAGCCACUGUUUUCAAACAUUGAUUGUUUAAAUCAUGUGUCCUUCCAGUGCUAUUAUUUUAAGAUAAUAAUAAUAAUAAUAAAAAGUUAUUUUCUGACAGUUCUUUGUGCUGAUUGGUGAAAAAAAAAAGGGUAAAUAAGCACCUUAUGAUUGACUUACUGUGAAUGACAAUCCAUCUUGAUAUCAACAAUAGAAGCCCUAUCACUUUGGAGUCGGGGUUAAGAGUCAGAAACAAUGUGCUCAGGGAUCUUCUAAAACUCUUCAAACAGGGUGGCCAGUAUUACUGGGACAAAUUGUGUUUUUUAUUAUUAAUAAUAGUGAUAAUAAUACUAUCCCUCAAGGCACAAGUGAACUGUGUAGAACUCUGUGUGUGUGUGUAAACUCUUCACUAUUGUCUCAUUUUGUUGAGUUCAAAAUAUAUGUGUUCUUCAGUCUUGUGUGGUUAAAAGUGUUGAAUAGCUUCCAAAGCAGUAUAAAGUUAUGCCAGUAUGUUCACAAGGUAAAUUAAUAGGCAGUGUACUGACAGAGAGCAUCACUUCAUGUGCAAUCCUACAUACUCCAUUGACUUCCUCUGAUAAUUAAAAUAUUCAUGAUAAAUUCAUAGCAUUAUAUAUUAGAAACUUUCAAAUUCUACAUAGUAUGCAAAAAAUUGUCUAAGACUAUAAUGAGAUGAGAGCUCUGCCUAUCAGUGCAGUGAAAGAGGUGAAAAUUUCAACACAUUUUUUUCAAAUGCCAACAAAUAACUGUUAUUUUCAUUGUGUUCUCCUCUAAAAGCAAACCCCCAAAUCCCUUUAUGUUUCACAGCUCUUUUACUUCUACUUUUAUAGUUUUCAUCUGUUGAAUUAAUACAAGAGCUAAUGUUUAAAGACAGACAAAACCCACCUAUAUAACAGCACCAUGAAUCAGCUUUUAGGGUUAUAUUUGACAUUUUUGCAAUAUAGUUUCAUUUUCAUGUUUCCAUGUAUUUUCAUAAUGUCAGUGAACCUCAGUAUAUUGUUGGCUUUGAUUCUUCCUUACCUGGAAUACACAUUCAGAAGGAGCUUUCCAUAAUUUCUUACAACCAUAGCGGAGUAUAAUUUGGGGAAACUUUCCAUGUCGUUUAAAUGAAGAAGAAACUUUGACCUUCUUGUUUUUUGAUAAUGAAGACUAUGGAAAAUGGCAGAAACCCCUCUCUCCUUCUCUCUCAACAUAUAUAUAUAUAUACAUACAUACACACACCUAUACAUAUAUACACCAUACAUAUACAUACAUACACAUAUACAUAUACAUACAACAUGUACAUACAUACACAGACACAGGUUAUUAACAUUUUCACAUACUAUAACGUGAUUGCCAUGUCUUACUUAUAAAGAUAUGAUACAACAGAACCCUAUAGAAACAACUUUAUACUGUGGAUCAGAUUAACAGAAAUGUAAUUGCAAUAGUAAGUCUUGACCUAUUGCCAACAGUCUACGAUAUGAGUUUUCAUUCUAUCCCUAAACACUAGUAUUAGGAAAGUGGUUCCACCAGAUUCAAUUCAAGAGGCCUUCCUAUUAUUGUUUAUUCUUAAGACAUGAGGAGGCUGAAGAAAAUGUCUUUCCAAAGCAAUCGGUUUCACUUCCGGAGCGGUUGCUUGUUUCUUUAAGUAUGACCGACCAGUUUUGUCAGGCUCUCAGAAUAAUUUUUAAAAUAAUCCAGAAGCCUGGCUUUAUACUAAGGAGAUGUCAUAGAUGGAGGGAUCUCUGUGUUUAACCAGACCCUCCGAUCUUAGAGCAAUAAAUACAUUCAUUCAGUCAUUUACUUAUUUACAAACCAAUGACAAAAUAUUCAAUCCAAAUAAAAACAAUGCUUUUUCAGCAAUGCAAUAUAACAUGGAGUCUUGUGUUAAAAAGCGACUAUGAAUAUUUUAAAUAGAUGCCUACAGAAUCCGUGUUCGCCGUUUACAUGUAGUGUGUUCGCCACAUUUUCUUUGGCUUUUUUCCUUCUAAGAACUAAUGAAAGACAGCUUGCUGUGAGCUUUGACACACUGCAUACGCCCUCAUGUUCCAUGCUGUUGUUCUCUAAGAGCAACUGAAUUCUCUCCAGUGUCUGUGUGUUUCCCUUCUCACUCAUUAUGACUUUAUUGUGGAUGAAAACUAUUUCUAGGAACUUGGUUAUUAUUGAACAGAUUGCAUAUGUAAAUGCAGAUAAUUCUUGAGCAAUAUAGUGAAUAUGAUUUCACACAAAAAAAAUUCGUAUGUACUGUACACAUCUUCCUGAAUCCAAAAUUCUCUUCUUAUAUCCACAGUGGUUUGAAAUCUCAUAUAAAACAGUGGUAAAUUUUUAAACAUUAGGACAUUAGCUGGCUGCUUCUUUAAAUGUACCUGUUCUGUCUGCUUGCUCCUUUUGUGGAGAUGUGUUUUUGUAUUGGAUGUUUGGGCCAAUGGGAGGCUUCAAGCUACAACAUAUUUUCCCAGUUUAAAUAUAUUUAACAUAUGACAAACCCCAGACAAGGCUUUUAAUAUGUAUAAAGAACUGCAGUGUUAGGUGGUUUAUUUGCAAACCGUUUUCAAUGUUGUCCAUUUUUAUGGCACCUUUAACAAUAUUCUUGUUUCCAAAGUACAAAAAAAAAAAAAUAGGUUAAAUAAUCUAGCCAUAACUGAAUGUCAAGCAAUAAAACAAAUGACUUUUGUGCAUAGACUUAAAAAAAUACAAAUUUUAGACAUCUGCAUGUAAAUGCAAUCUCUUGUUUACUGCUUUCUUCAACUUGAGCAAUUGAUUCCUUAUUUACUAUUAACUUAAGAACUUGUAAUGGCCUGUAAACAUUUUCUCUCUUACUCUUCUUUCAAAUUUACCUUGGUCCCUGCUUUUAAGUCAUAAUAUUUAAUGUUGUUCUGCACAUCUCUAUACAGUUAACUUUUUGGCUUUCAUUCUGUAUAGAUAAGAAAAUGUUAUAUUAUAAACAGCCUACUCAGUGCAAAUAUUUAUCUGUUUAUCAAAUCCACAAUAUGCUGUAUAAUACUGGUUUUACUAUAUAAUCUAUUUUAGACAUAGCUGUUUAGAACUAGAGUGUGCUAUUUUUGUGUUUUUCUGAUGUGUGGUGCUAGAUAAGUUACUUUUGUGAACAACAACAAAAAAAUCCCUUUUAUUCCUAGACAAUACCACCUUUGGGUCUUGUUAAUUUCACUGAGUAUAACUAUAUAUUUGUAUAUAUAUACAUAUAUAUAUAUAUCUACCUGUUCCCAACUGGCAGCUGUAUCAGAGUGCUGGAUUUGGGACACGCUUUUCUCUUUAAAUACAUAAUAUCAUUAUAUAAAUUAUUCUAGAGUGUAUUUAAUUAGGAUAAAAUUACUUCCUUAGUAUGGAUAUUUGACAUCUAUAGGGUGAAUUUGUUUAUAAAUAUGGAUAUAUGAAAACUUCUUAGCAUUUACUUUAUGUUUGCUACUUGGCUUUAUACCAUAUCUCCUGAGCUGAAAAAAUAAUUUUCCAGGCCUUCAAGAUCCUAAAAAAACACUCUAGUUUAAUGGAGUAAUACUUUUUUUUUCUUACUAAGGAAUCAUGUUAUUGGCACCUGACUGAGUUGUGUACUUAGCUCCUAUUUAGGCAUUAUAUAAAAUAUCCUUGGUGGCUUGAUGGCAGAAUAAGUGUUUCCCCUCCUACCUGAGCCAUGAGAAGCUUGGAGAUAUCCAGUAUCAUGGCAGAGCACGGGCCAUAGAGCAAAUUUGACAAGGGAUGUUCUGUUUUAAUCUGACCUCAACCAGUUCCAUGAACUGUGAGUGAAAGACCUUCAUUUUACAAGUCAUCUAACAAUGAGCUUAGUUAAACUCUUUCACCUAUUCUCCCAAGACUUAUUGGCAUUGUUAAAAAUCAAAAGUAUAUCAAAUAUCUAACUAAGGAUGUAGUUAACCUUAUUAAAUAUUGAUUAGAAUUGUUCUGUAAUAUUACUGAAUUUGUAAGAUCUUUAGCAAAGAUUUUUGAGCAAUUUAUAAAUAUAGAGCAAAUGUUUCUGUUUACUGCACUUUUUGUAAUUGAAGGUGAUAAAUUCUCAAGCCAUGGUUAUUGGCUUCCAUGCACUGCAUAUUUACCCACAAUUCUAGACAUUUUCCAUUUUUAUGGAAGAGUUGCUGUUACCUUAAUUAUAAAUGCAAUCAUGUGGUUAAUGAGAGCGAAUGCUAAUAGUUAACCUUUUAAAGAGAAUUGGCUACAGUUUAGGGAGAAAUCUCUUUAAUACAAAUCAUGUCAUUCCUUAUUGCUUCACUUAGAGAUUGAAACCUGUUUUGUUUUUGUUUUUGUUUUUUAAGCACCACUUAGUAUCCUAAACUUCCUGAAAGUAGAGAUUGUAUCUCUUUGUGUCUACACAAUGGCCAGCACAUGUCAGCAUUUGAUAAUUGUUAAAUGACAAGUGUGCCCAAAUUAAAAUUUUUUCUUGGGAUUUUUUUGGGGGUAAAUUUAUAAAGUACGUCAAGCCUUAUGGUUAACACUUUCUUCUACAACCAAGUAUUAAAGCCACAUUUAAAACGACCACAUGAAAUGCUGAUUCUAAUUGUGUGUAGGUCUUGAAGAUUAAGCACACAAAUUUCACAAAACUCUGUGAGUAACAAACUCAGCCUUCUGUAAAUAUACAUGCAAGUUUGGAAACAGUAAUACUGUACCUAUAAAUAUAUGCUGUCUGUUUUGUGUACAGUAUGUAAAAACUCCUUUUCUGCCACACUAAAAAUGCAAGCCAUUUAUGGAAAUCCUAAAAAUAGUAUUGUACUAAAACUUUGCUAAUGAUCUUUAUUAGAGGAUCAUCCAACUUUUCACUUACAUUGGGUUUUCUUUUCAAUUCACUCUUACAGUAGUCUGCUUAUUUCCAGCUGUUUGUUAUUUUAUUGAGUCCUCAAUUUAAAAAAAAAUAUUUUGAUUCAUUUUGUAAAUACAAGCUGUAAAAAAAAGAGAGAUUUAAUGUUGUCUUUUAAAUACUCCAAUUUUCAUUCUAAUAUGAAUGUUGUUAUAUUGUACUUAGAAACUGUACCUUUAAUAUUACAUUACCUUUAUUAAAAGUGCAUUGAACACAUCAAUUUUAGAUGUGCUUUAUGUACUGUUAUCCUAUAAUAAAACUUCAGCUUCUAAUG